AUUGAACGCUGGCGGCAGGCCUAACACAUGCAAGUCGAGCGGAGCGGCGGACGGGUGAGUAAUGCUUAGGCAUCUGCCUGGUAGCCGGGGAUAACGUCCGGCAACGGGCGCUAAUACCGCAUACUAUCACUUUAGCCUAGGUCGGAUUAGCGAGUUGGUGGGGUAAAGGCCUACGAAGGCGACGAUCCGUAACUGGUCUGAGAGGAUGAUCAGUCACACUGGAACUGGUACACGGUCCAAACUCCGACGGGAGUAAGCAGUGGGGAAUAGUGGACAAUGGCGAAAAGCCUGAGCCGGCCAUGCCGCUGGUGUGAAGAAGGUCUUCGGAUGGUAAAGCACUUUAAGUUGGGAGGCGUUACCAACAGAAUAAGCACCGGCUAACUACGUGCCAGCAGCCGCGGUAAUAC
rnacentral:rRNA from 1 species